GGUUUUAUUGUCUAGUGGUUAAGACCCUUGGUUCUGAACAGAUCUUUACAAGAAAGUUCGAAACUAGAGAAUAUCCAAGUAACCUGGGUUCGAAUCCCAGUGAAACCU
rnacentral:tRNA from 3 species